rnacentral:rRNA from 1 species
UACGAAGGGGGCUAGCGUUACUCGGAUUGACUGGGCGUAAAGGGCGCGUAGGCGGCUUGUACAGUCAGACGUGAGAUUCCUGGGCUCAACCUGGGGGCUGCGUUUGAUACGUAUGGGCUUGAGUUCGGAAGAGGGUCGUGGAAUUCCCAGUGUAGAGGUGAAAUUCGUAGAUAUUGGGAAGAACACCGGAGGCGAAGGCGGCGACCUGGUCCGAUACUGACGCUGAGGCGCGAAAGCGUGGGGAGCAAACAGG